AACUCUUUUUAGGAUAGGUUCUCUAACUUCUAUUCUCAAUAAGUUUAUCUAAGUGUAACAAUGGUGCAACCCCAUGUCCUCUUGGUGACUUUUCCAGCACAAGGCCAUAUUAAUCCAUGUCUCCAAUUUGCCAAGAGGCUAAUUAGAAUGGGCAUUGAGGUAACUUUUGCCACGAGCGUUUUCGCCCAUCGUCGUAUGGCAAAAACUACGACUUCCACUCUAUCCAAGGGCUUAAAUUUUGCGGCAUUCUCUGAUGGGUACGACGAUGGUUUCAAGGCCGAUGAGCAUGAUUCUCAACAUUACAUGUCGGAGAUAAAAAGUUGCGGUUCUGAAACCCUAAAAGAUAUCAUUUUGAAAAGCUCAGACGAGGGACGUCCUGUGACAUCCCUCGUCUAUUCUCUUUUGCUUCCAUGGGCUGCAAAGGUAGCGCGUGAAUUUCACAUACCGUGCGCGUUACUAUGGAUUCAACCAGCAACUGUGCUAGACAUAUAUUAUUAUUACUUCAAUGGCUAUGAGGAUGCCAUAAAAGGUAGCACCAAUGAUCCAAAUUGGUGUAUUCAAUUGCCUAGGCUUCCACUACUAAAAAGCCAAGAUCUUCCUUCUUUUUUACUUUCUUCUAGUAAUGAAGAAAAAUAUAGCUUUGCUCUACCAACAUUUAAAGAGCAACUUGACACAUUAGAUGUUGAAGAAAAUCCUAAAGUACUUGUGAACACAUUUGAUGCAUUAGAGCCAAAGGAACUCAAAGCUAUUGAAAAGUACAAUUUAAUUGGGAUUGGACCAUUGAUUCCUUCAACAUUUUUGGACGGAAAAGACCCUUUGGAUUCUUCCUUUUGUGGUGAUCUUUUUCAAAAGUCUAAUGACUAUAUUGAAUGGUUGAACUCAAAGGCUAAAUCAUCUGUGGUUUAUAUCUCAUUUGGGAGUCUCUUGAAUUUGUCAAAAAAUCAAAAGGAAGAGAUUGCAAAAGGGUUGAUAGAGAUUAAAAAGCCAUUUUUGUGGGUAAUAAGAGAUCAAGAAAAUGGUAAGGGAGAUGAAAAAGAAGAGAAAUUAAGUUGUAUGAUGGAGUUGGAAAAGCAAGGGAAAAUAGUACCAUGGUGUUCACAACUUGAAGUCUUAACACAUCCAUCUAUAGGAUGUUUCGUGUCACAUUGUGGAUGGAAUUCGACUCUGGAAAGUUUAUCGUCAGGUGUGCCAGUAGUGGCAUUUCCUCAUUGGACGGAUCAAGGGACAAAUGCUAAACUAAUUGAAGAUGUUUGGAAGACAGGUGUAAGGUUGAAAAAGAAUGAAGAUGGUGUGGUUGAGAGUGAAGAGAUAAAAAGGUGCAUAGAAAUGGUAAUGGAUGGUGGAGAGAAAGGAGAAGAAAUGAGAAGAAAUGCUCAAAAAUGGAAAGAAUUGGCAAGGGAAGCUGUAAAAGAAGGCGGAUCUUCGGAAAUGAAUCUAAAAGCUUUUG
rnacentral:lncRNA from 1 species